AAACUGGGUCUAAUACUGGAUAUGACUUCUCACCGCAUGGUGGGGGGUGGAAAGAUUUAUUGGUCUUGGAUGGACUCGCGGCCUAUCAGCUUGUUGGUGAGGUAAUGGCUNACCAAGGCGACGACGGGUAGCCGGCCUGAGAGGGUGACCGGCCACACUGGGACUGAGACACGGCCCAGACUCCUACGGGAGGCAGCAGUGGGGAAUAUUGCACAAUGGGCGCAAGCCUGAUGCAGCGACGCCGCGUGAGGGAUGACGGCCUUCGGGUUGUAAACCUCUUUCAGUAGGGAAGAAGCGAAAGUGACGGUACCUGCAGAAGAAGCGCCGGCUAACUACGUGCCAGCAGCCGCGGUAAUACGUAGGGCGCGAGCGUUAUCCGGAAUUAUUGGGCGUAAAGAGCUCGUAGGCGGUUUGUCGCGUCUGCCGUGAAAGUCCGGGGCUUAACCCCGGAUCUGCGGUGGGUACGGGCAGACUAGAGUGCAGUAGGGGAGACUGGAAUUCCUGGUGUAGCGGUGAAAUGCGCAGAUAUCAGGAGGAACACCGAUGGCGAAGGCAGGUCUCUG
rnacentral:rRNA from 1 species